rnacentral:precursor_RNA from 8 species
UCGUGUUAUAUUAUUAUCGGAGUCAGGAUGGCGCUGGUUUUACUGAAGUUGUGGCCAACAAACCUCAUAACUCAGUCAGACCACGCCAUACUGCUCACUUCAAACUGCAUCUAUGUAU